UUAGGCAUGCAAGUCGAACGAACUUCUAUCUUUCGGAAGUUUAGUGGCGAAAGGGUGAGUAACACGUGGGUUAUCUGCCCUAGGGAUUGGGAUAACUUGCCGAAAGGCGAGCUAAUACCGAAUACGUUCUACUAUGAAUAGUAGUAGAGGAAAGUUGAGGACCUCGCAAGAGGCUUAACACCCUUGGAUGAGCCCGCGGCCUAUCAGCUAGUUGGUAGGGUAAUGGCCUACCAAGGCUAAGACGGGUAGCUGGUCUGAGAGGAUGGUCAGCCACACUGGGACUGAGACACUGCCCAGACACCUACGGGUGGCUGCAGUCGAGAAUCUUUCGCAAUGGGGGAAACCCUGACGAAGCGACGCCGCGUGCAGGAUGAAGGUCUUCGGAUUGUAAACUGCUGUCGGCUGGGAAGAAAAGUCUGUUGUGAACAAUAGCAGAUCUUGACGGUACCAGCAAAGGAAGCCACGGCUAACUCUGUG
rnacentral:rRNA from 1 species